rnacentral:tRNA from 1 species
UCCCGUGUGGCUCAGUUGGUAGAGCAUGGUGUUUGCAACACUAGGGUUGUAGGUUCAAUUUCCAACGGGAG